UACGUAGGGGGCAAGCGUUGUCCGGAAUCAUUGGGCGUAAAGCGCGUGUAGGCGGCUCGAUAAGUCUGCUGUGAAAGUUCAGGGCUCAACCCUGAAAUGCCGGUGGAAACUGUCGAGCUAGAGUACGGAAGAGGCGAGUGGAAUUCCUGGUGUAGCGGUGAAAUGCGCAGAUAUCAGGAGGAACACCGGUGGCGAAGGCGGGUCUCUGGGCCGAUAUUGACGCUGAGGAGCGAAAGCGUGGGGAGCAAACAGG
rnacentral:rRNA from 1 species